GACGAACGCUGGCGGCGUGCUUAACACAUGCGAGUCGAACGGAAAGGCCCUGCUUUUGUGGGGUGCUCGAGUGGCGAACGGGUGAGUAACACGUGAGUAACCUGCCCUUGACUUUGGGAUAACUUCAGGAAACUGGGGCUAAUACCGGAUAGGAGCUCCUGCGGCAUGGUGGGGGUUGGAAAGUUUCGGCGGUUGGGGAUGGACUCGCGGCUUAUCAGCUUGUUGGUGGGGUAGUGGCUUACCAAGGCUUUGACGGGUAGCCGGCCUGAGAGGGUGACCGGCCACAUUGGGACUGAGAUACGGCCCAGACUCCUACGGGAGGCAGCAGUGGGGAAUAUUGCACAAUGGGCGGAAGCCUGAUGCAGCAACGCCGCGUGCGGGAUGACGGCCUUCGGGUUGUAAACCGCUUUCGCCUGUGACGAAGCGUGAGUGACGGUAAUGGGUAAAGAAGCACCGGCUAACUACGUG
rnacentral:rRNA from 1 species